GCCGCUAUCGUCUAAUGGUUAGGACGCCAGGUUUUCAUCCUGGUAAUCCGGGUUCGAUUCCCGGUAGCGGUA
rnacentral:tRNA from 1 species